AUGUUCCGCUUUGUAACUGGGAACCUACAGUUCCUUAUCCCAGAUUUUGUGUUGUUGCUGUUUUCUGGAAUCAUUGGAGCCCCUCGACAAGUUUGGUUUUUAAAGUGUGUGAGUGGUGCUGUUAUCAAGAAGGAGCAUCCAUCAUAUUGGAGGUGGACUGUAUUGAUUUUCACACCAAUAUAUCAGCUCACUGAUUUAUUGGUCUGCUCUGAAUGCAAGCACACAAACCAAUUCACAAACCUCCAUCAGCAAACAUCUCAAGAGCAUCCUGACUGAUCGCUUGAGAAAAUUUUCAGUGGCCCCCGUGGAGAGCAAUGCAUCUCUAUCACUAUCACCGUGCCUCAUUACUAACAGGCCUUCUUAUUGUAAACAGGCAAAUAACAAGGAGGUGUUUAUUUUAGAAUCACGUCUGCUUGAACAUUGUUAGACCAUAAAUUUGUCAGUGCUUCAUUUUUAAUGCUCAAAAUAAAUGAAUAAUAACAUACGUAUAUUUACUUUCU
rnacentral:lncRNA from 1 species